UUUAUAAAAAAAAAAAACAGCCUCUUGUUCACCAAACGUUUGUGUCUGAAUCAAAGAGCAUGAUGAUGGGGCUGAAGGUCACUCAGUACUACAUCUUUGUUAUAAUGCUAACCAAAGGUGUCAGCAGUGAUGAGAUCAGACUGGACCAGUCUCCUGCUGUGGUAAAGAGACCUGGAGAAACUGUGAAGAUCUCCUGUAAGAUAAACGGAUAUUCAAUGACGAGCUACAACAUACACUGGAUCAGACAGAAACCAGGGAAAGCUCUGGAAUGGCUUGGCUGGAUGAAUACAGGCAAUAAUGAUGCAACAUAUGCAGAGUCUGUGAAGAACCAGCUCACCUUUACAGAAGACGUCUCAGCAAGCACACAGUACUUAGAGGCCAAGAGUCUGAGGACAGAGGACACUGCGGUUUAUUACUGCGCCCGACAAGCCACAGUGACUGGAGCUGAGGAAGCAGCUGUACAAAAACCAGACACACAUUUUAACACAGAGUUUAUUUUGAACAAGUUACAUGUCCUGUUAUCAUUUAUCUGUUAUAUCCUAUGUUUAUUAAAGAAUUCAUUAACAUUUUGUCUUAAACACUGUAAUGUUUUAUUGAAUUGUUAAAAAUGUUUCUGCAGCAUUCAGACUCUCUAAAGACGAAGUGACACCAUUUCGGUUCCCCAUAAUAUCUGUACCUCUGUACU